AAUAACCCUAGUUAAUAAGUCUUCAUGAUGCCGCCUCUUCCUGUUCUUACCUUCUUUUCCCUGAAGAGCUGCGGUGUGAGGAGAUACAACGAUGGCGCAACAUCAACAAGCGAUGGAGGAUCCAUGAACCAUCCCACCUCCUUCAUCUCGACCACCAGGUCUACCAUGGUGUGGAUUUGACUCUAGCUAUAGUGGGUCUAAUGGUAGUGGCUCCAGCGAUGACUGGUCUCGACCUCUACUUGGCGCCAUUCCUUCCACGACCAUGACAAUAGUGGAGCUCAAGCAGAGGCAUUGUGCUUGGCUCCUCGGCGGCGGCGACGCCUCCAAAUCUGAGCGGGUCGUUGGCGGCGGCGACUAGAUCUGGGUGACGACGCAUUAACUCGAUGGUGAAGAAAACCCAGUGGCGACGAUGGACAAAAUUAGUUGCGACGACAACCUAACCUUGACGAGCUUGGAUCUGGAGUCGACGGGUUUAGAUCCAGGCUCACAAAUUUUUUAUUAUUUUUAAAUGGGCCUUUACAAGCGGUCUACGUAAGAGCCUGCUUCUAAAAAUAGUGUUUGUACAAAUGGUUCUUGACCACCGCUUGAUUAAAAUUAGAUUUUCUCAAGCUCUUAAAUGGUAGCGCCCAUGGACACCGUAUAGAAAAAAUUGUUUUCAACCACUUGUAAAGACUUUUUUUUGUAAUAGUGUAAACUAGGUGUGGUAUACACAUUUUGAUAAUUGAUAUUAGCCUGGUCAGCAUUAUUAUUGUCCA
rnacentral:lncRNA from 1 species